rnacentral:rRNA from 1 species
AUUGAACGCUGGCGGCAUGCUUUACACAUGCAAGUCGAACGGUAACAGGCCUUCGGGUGCUGACGAGUGGCGAGCGGGUGAGUAAUGCAUCGGAACGUGCCCAGAGGUGGGGGAUAACGCAGCGAAAGCUGUGCUAAUACCGCAUGUGAUCUGAGGAUGAAAGCGGGGGACCAAGCAGCAAUGUUUGGCCUCGCGCCUCUGGAGCGGCCGAUGUCAGAUUAGGUAGUUGGUGGCGUAAAGGCCUACCAAGCCGACGAUCUGUAGCUGGUCUGAGAGGACGACCAGCCACACUGGGACUGAGACACGGCCCAGACUCCUACGGGAGGCAGCAGUGGGGAAUUUUGGACAAUGGGCGCAAGCCUGAUCCAGCAAUGCCGCGUGCGGGAAGAAGGCCUUCGGGUUGUAAACCGCUUUUGUACGGAACGAAAAGGCUCUGGCUAAUACCUGGGGCUGAUGACGGUACCGUAAGAAUAAGCACCGGCUAACUACGUG